GUCUAUGAGAAGAGAUUCAUAGUCUGACCUGCCCGCUGACAAGUAGUUUAAGGGCCGCGGUAUUUUAACCGUGCAAAGGUAGCGUAAUCAUUAGUCUUUUAAUUGGAAACUUGUAUGAAUGGUUGGACAAAGGAAUGACUGUCCCUGUAAUUGAGUUUGAAUUUGACUUUUAAGUGAAAAGGCUUAAAUUUUUUAGGGGGACGAUAAGACCCUAUAAAGCUUCAGGGACUAAGAAGUUUUUUCUGAUUUUUUUAUAAAGGUUUAAUCUUAUUGUUCUAUUUUGUUGGGGUGACAAAAAUAUAAAUAUUUUAACUGUUUGAGGGCUUAGACAGGGAUUACUGGUGGUUAGUUGAUCCUUAUUAAAGAUUAAAAGACUAAGUUACUUUAGGGAUAACAGCGUUAUUUCUCUUGAGAGUCCAUAUUGAAAGAGAAGAUUACGACCUCGAUGUUGAAUUAAAAUGUCUAUGUAACGCAACCGUUACAAAAGAAGGUCUGUUCGACCUAUAAAUUUUUAC
rnacentral:rRNA from 1 species